rnacentral:rRNA from 1 species
GAUGAACGCUAGCGGCAGGCUUAACACAUGCAAGUCGAGGGGCAGCACUUGUAGCAAUACAUGGUGGCGACCGGCGCAAGGGUGCGUAACGCGUGAGCAACAUGCCCGUAUCAGGGGGAUAAUCCAGGGAAACUUGGUCUAAUACCCCAUAGCAAUUAUUUGAGGCAUCUUAAAAUAAUUUAAAGCUUUGGUGGAUACGGAUUGGCUCGCGUGACAUUAGCUAGAUGGUAAGGUAACGGCUUACCAUGGCUACGAUGUCUAGGGGUUCUGAGAGGAAGAUCCCCCACACUGGAACUGAGACACGGUCCAGACUCCUACGGGAGGCAGCAGUGAGGAAUAUUGGACAAUGGAUGGAAAUCUGAUCCAGCCAUGCCGCGUGCAGGAAGACGGCCCUAUGGGUUGUAAACUGCUUUUGUGUGGGAGCAAUAAGGUCUAUGCGUAGACUGAUGAGAGUACCAUACGAAUAAGCAUCGGCUAACUCCGUG